GAUGAACGCUGGCGGCGUGCCUCAAACAUGCAAGUCGAGCGGGGCUAUGUAAUAUCGCAAGGUAGAACAUAGCCUAGCGGCGAACGGGUGAGUAACACGUGGGUAACCUGCCUGGAAGACAGGGAUAACGAUUCGAAAGGGUCGCUAAUACCUGAUAAUAUCCUUUCAUCGCAUGGUGAUAGGAAGAAAGGGGAAACCCGCUUUCAGAUGGGCCCGCGUCCCAUCAGCUAGUUGGUAAGGUAAAGGCUUACCAAGGCGACGACGGGUAGCCGGUCUGAGAGGAUGUACGGCCACACUGGGACUGAGAUACGGCCCAGACUCCUACGGGAGGCAGCAGUUGGGAAUCUUAGGCAAUGGACGAAAGUCUGACCUAGCGACGCCGCGUGAGGGAAGAAGGCCUUCGGGUUGUAAACCUCUGUCAUGGGGGAAGAAGUAAGUGACGGUACCCCAAGAGGAAGCCCUGCUAACUACGUG
rnacentral:rRNA from 1 species